rnacentral:rRNA from 1 species
GCACAAGCGGUGGAUGAUGUGGUUAAUUCGAUGCAACGCGAAAACCUUACCACCUUUGACAUGUACGGAAUCCUUUAGAGAUAGAGGAGUGCUCGAAAGAGAGCCGUAACACAGGUGCUGCAUGGCUGUCGUCAGCUCGUGUCGUGAGAUGUUGGGUUAAGUCCCGCAACGAGCGCAACCCUUGUCAUUAGUUGCCAUCAUUUGGUUGGGCACUCUAAUGAGACUGCCGGUGACAAACCGGAGGAAGGUGGGGAUGACGUCAAGUCCUCAUGGCCCUUAUGGGUAGGGCUUCACACGUCAUACAAUGGUCGGUACAGAGGGUUGCCAACCCGCGAGGGGGAGCUAAUCCCACAAAGCCGAUCGUAGUCCGGAUCGCAGUCUGCAACUCGACUGCGUGAAGUCGGAAUCGCUAGUAAUCGUGGAUCAGCAUGUCACGGUGAAUACGUUCCCGGGUCUU